ACCCGCACAAGCAGAGGAGCGCGUUGGUUUAAUUCGACGGCAAUCGAAGAACCUUACCAGGGUUUGAAAUGUAUCUGCAUGCCCUAUGAAAAUAGGGAGGCCUUCGAGGGUGAUACACAGGUGCUGCAUGGCCGCCGUCAGCUCGUGUCGUGAGAUGUAGGGUUAAGUCCCGAAACGAGCGCAACCCCUAUUCUAUGUUACAAGUGUCUUAGAAAACCGCCUCGGUAAAACGAGGAGGAAGGUGGGGAUGACGUCUGGUCCGCAUAGCCCUUAUGUCCUGGGCUACACACGCGCUACAAUGGCCGAUACAGUAGGAAGCCAAAUCGUAAGAUGGAGCUAAUCCUUAAAGUCGGUCUCAGUUCGGAUUGAGGUCUGAAAUUCGACCUCAUGAAGUUGGAUUUGCUAGUAAUCGUAGAUCAGCAAUGCUACGGUGAAUACGUUCUCGGGUCUU
rnacentral:rRNA from 1 species